CUGGCGGCAAGGGGAGCCGAAAACUGGGCAGCAGGGGACACACAUUUCCUCAGGGGUACCGACUGUGCCACAACACCUGUAAACAGCCAGUGUGGGUUCAUUUGUAGAUGCGUGCCCUGCCUCUUUUCACAGCCAAACCUACUUCCUGGUGGAGAAGGCAGCGCCUCGGUGUUGUCGUAGUGAGCAGAGGGGGCAGCUGAAGUGUAGGCGGAGGCGACUAUUGAUGGUCCGCAGUCUCUUUACUGCAGUUAGUCAGCAGCACACUUUUCUUGUUGUUGUUGUUUAGCACAUUUGCAGAAAAAAAUGGGAAGCACGGUGAUGGAGUCCAGCAAGGACAGCUCAAAGAAAAUGCCAAAGAAGAGGAGAAGUCUGCGGAUUAACAUGCCAGACUUUGGUGGGUUAACUUCCCCACAAGUGGAAACAAGUGGCUCAACUAAAAGUGGCGCUCAGAUGGGAGAGCGUCGCAUCCGUUCAGCCAGCCCCAUCAAAGGAGUUCCUGUGAGGAGCCCAGGCAGCGCCCCUCUGCCCCCAUGUCCCCAGUCUGCCCCGGUGCAAUUGAAGACCGGCUCAGGUUCACCCAAAACUCUCUUCCCCUAUCCCUCCUAUCAGAACUCCCCGCCCAAGUCUCCCCGCCGCCUAAGCUUCAGUGGCAUCUUCCGCUCCUCAUCAAACUCAACUCCUGCGAGCAUCAAAAUCUUCUCUAGAACCAAGAGAGCCUCUGGACUCUCCACACCACCCACCACCCCGACACAGGCAGCCAGCCAGCCUGUGUUCACCCAGGAGGCCCAGCAGAGCGGCCCAAGCCCUGAACGCCUGGAGCCGAGCUCCCGCUCUCGCUGUCUCUCCACACCUCCAGACACAGGACAACGCCUCAACCUUCCCUCUACUAAACCCCCGAUCCCUUCCUCGAGCCCUGUGCCACAUUACUCUACCUCACAACAAGUCUACGGUUUAUUCGAAGGCAUGCUGGAGAAACUUGAACUAGAUGAUGAUGCUGCUGAACCUGAGAGUGAUAUUUACAUGCGCUUUAUGAAAUCCCACAAGUGCUACGACAUUGUCCCUACAAGUUCCAAACUGGUUGUGUUCGACACGGCGCUUCAAGUUAAGAAAGCGUUCUUUGCCUUGGUAGCCAAUGGCGUGCGAGCAGCUCCACUAUGGGACACGGAGAAGCAGAGCUUUGUGGGAAUGCUGACAAUCACAGAUUUCAUCAUCAUACUACACAGAUACUAUAAGUCACCAAUGGUGCAAAUAUAUGAAUUAGAGGAACAUAAACUUGAGACGUGGAGAGAGGUUUACCUUCAAGCAACAUUUAAACCUCUCGUCAACAUAUCACCUGAUGCAAGCCUGUUCGAGGCAGUGUACACCCUCAUCAAAAACAAAAUUCACCGCCUGCCUGUCAUCGACCCUGUCACGGGGAACGCACUUUAUAUUCUCACACACAAGAGGAUCCUCAAGUUCCUCCAGCUCUUUAUGUGUGAAAUGCCAAAGCCAGCUUUCAUGAAGCAGACUCUUGGGGAGCUGGGCAUUGGUACGUACCAUGAGAUUGCUUUCAUCCACCCAGACACGCCCAUCAUCAAAGCUCUCAACAUCUUUGUGGAGAGAAGAGUGUCUGCUUUGCCGGUGGUGGAUGAGUCAGGCAAAGUUGUGGAUAUUUACUCCAAGUUUGACGUGAUUAACUUGGCUGCUGAGAAGACGUACAACAACCUGGACAUUACGGUGACCCAGGCUCUGAAACAUCGCUCUCAGUACUUCGAAGGAGUCAUGAAGUGCCAUAAAAUGGAAACAAUGGAGACCAUUGUGGACAGAAUAGUCAAAGCUGAAGUGCAUCGGUUGGUGGUUGUGGAUGAGCGCUCCAGCAUCGAGGGCAUCGUCUCCCUGUCGGACAUCCUCCAGGCUCUGGUGCUCAGCCCAGCAGGUAGGAAGCGCACAUGAUUCGCUCCCAGCCGACUCUCGCCUGUAGCUGGCUGUACGGAGGCAUAGUGCCCGACACCCUGUUUGUCCUGCUGGAUGCCACUCUGCAGCAGCGUUGUGUGGAUUUUUGUGUCGGGAUGACGGGCCUGUCAUUCUCUGUCACGACACAAUGGUUAAAAAAACCAAAUUCACCACUCUCUCACCAGUGCAUUGAAAUAUAUUUGACAAAGUACACAGACAGUGUUUUUUUUCAUUAUACAAUACUUUUUAUGAUGCUACCACAUGCAGUGCAAAGGGAUGCCUGUAAGGAGGAGAAUCUGACUGAGUGAGAGGGAGGAAGCAUCAGCUGAAGUGGAGACGUGUUGGGAGUAAAUAAAUUGAAAGGUUGAGGUAGGGAGCGUGGGGCUGACGGAGCCAGUCUGACGAUCCCAGAGACGCCUGCAACUGAUGCACUAUAGAGGCUUGGAAACCAAAGAGCUAGACAGAUGAGUGAAGUGGAGUUCCUGCACUGAGGAUUGGGUUUCUGAAUUUAUCUUUUUUUUUGUUUGUUUGUUUGAACACUGAUCAGAUGAACACACAUACAGUAUACUGUAUAUAUACACAGACACACACACACAUACAGACAAAUACAUCAUGGUCACCUGCCUGGGGAAAGGUUGGGAGAGUUGAGACAGGUUCUGAUUAAUUAGGGCUUCAGUGUUUUAGGUUGUGUAGUUAUUAUCAUGCUGCUGUCAUCAGUUGUCUCAUUUUGUAGUGGACUGGAUACUGAAUGUCAUCACCUGCAGGAAAAACAAAUCUUUUCCUCAGUGUUUGCCGUAGAAAGGAGACAUUCACAGAUGCAACUUCUUGUUUAGAAGCAAAACUACACUUCACCUACAAAGUGGCCAUUUUUAGACUGUUGUUAGAAGAGUGUUGGCCAGUGCCAAUAUAAAGGGGUUGAUGCGGGUUGAUGCCCAGUCUUUAUUUGUGCCUUUUGUUUGCCCUGCCUACUCCAGUUUAAAACUGACAGUAUUUGUGUCCUUUGAAUUUUUGUUUUCAAAUGAGUGCAAUUAUUUGGAGUUUUUUUUUUUUUUCUUUUUAAAAACCAUGUGUAAUAUUAAAGUAGUUGGAAAACUUUACCUUCUACUUCCAAUUAAAAACAGAUUUUCCUUUCGUUGGUUGCGUUUUCCAGGACUACAUUUUUAAACAUUUCUGUUUAAAUAGAUUAAAUUCUAAAAAGGAUAUCCUAAAUAAAAUCAAAAACAUUAUGGCACAAAAACACACAAAGGCAAAUGCAACUUAAGGAUUCAGUAAGCCAAGAACUAUCAGUGAGUACUUUCAUUUUACAUCAGUAGUGAUUCAGUCAUCGCGACUUAAGGAUGCAUUUUUGUAAAGGUGUGACAAAACCCAAAAGUCUUUUUUUUUUGAUGCUUAAGAAACUUUUUUUUUACAUUUACCUUCAGUGGUGUCCUAGUUUUGAUGCUUCAUAUAAUUUGAUGCUCGCAAGCAUACAAAACAACUCGGUUAUCUCAGCCGUAGCUCGACAGGACUCAUCUCCAUCUUUGACUGUAAAUAGGAUCAUUUUUCAGUAAACGUGUCACAGAAAGCUUUAUUUUUAUGAAUGUGUCAACAUGUUUAAAGAGACUGCAGUUUUAAUGUUAUUUUUGUAAAUAUAUUGUGGCAAUAUGUCCAGUUCAAAGAAACUUUGUAUCAGAUCAAUAUGUACUGUAAAUGUGCAAGCAUGAGAAACUACACUUCAGCAGUAUGAAUGUUCUUUGUUUUACUUUUUCUAUUUUUCUGGCUGCAGAAAAAUAAACGGACAAUGAAUGUACUUUAAAGUCA